rnacentral:misc_RNA from 1 species
GAUGAAGAACGUAGCGAAAUGCGAUAAGUAAUGUGAAUUGCAGAAUUCAGUGAAUCAUCGAAUCUUUGAACGCACAUUGCGCCCGCCAGUAUUCUGGCGGGCAUGCCUGUCUGAGCGUCAUUUCAACCCUCAAGCCCCCGGGCUUGGUGUUGGGGAUCGGCGAGCCUCCGCGCCCGCCGUCCCCUAAAUCUAGUGGCGGUCUCGCUGUAGCUUCCUCUGCGUAGUAGCACACCUCGCACUGGGAAACAGCGCGGCCACGCCGUUAAACCCCCAACUUCUGAACGUUUGACCUCGGAUCAGGUAGGAAUACCCGCUGAACUUAAGCAUAUCAAUAAGCGGAGGA